rnacentral:tRNA from 1 species
AACCAGAUAGCCUAGUAGUUAAGGCUAUGGACCGCCAAUCCGGAGACGGUGGGUUUGAUUCCCGUUCCGGUCG